CUUUGCAAUGUGCGAAAGCACGACAAGGUUAAUCCGAGUGGUUUCUGCUAAAGGAACCUUUUGUCGGUCCUAGAAGCACCGAUGAAUAAGGGGUGGGCAAGUUCUGGUGUCAGCCGCCGCGGUAAAACCAGCACCUCAAGUGGUCAGGAUGAUUAUUGGGCCUAAAGCAUCCGUAGCCGGCUCUGUUAGUUUUCGGUUAAAUCUGUACGCUCAACGUACAGGCUGCCGGGAAUACUGCAGAGCUAGGGAGUGGGAGAGGUAGACGGUACUCGGUAGGAAGGGGUAAAUCCUUUGAUCUAUUGAUGACCACCUGUGGCGAAGGCGGUCUACCAGAACACGUCCGACGGUGAGGGGAUAGAAAGCGGU
rnacentral:rRNA from 2 species